rnacentral:lncRNA from 1 species
UUCUCCUCUGUUGGCUGUUUCAGAACUCAGAGGCCCAUUAUUACCAUGGGGCUAUUGUUACAUCUUCCCGGCUGGUCUCUCCUCUUUCCCAGCAUCUCCUUCUUCUCCCUCUGCUGGAAUAAUGACUUUGAAGACACUAAAGUAAAAGAACCAUCAACACAAGUGACAUGUCAUAGCAGGAGCUGACACAGCCUCACCAGCCCAUGCUCGGCCAGACUAGGGAGCAUCGGCCGCUUGUUCCAUCCUGUGCUUGUCUGCCUGCCUCUCUGUCAUGAGACGCAUUCGAAGAGUCCUGGGCCCAAAAGCAACUCACAGUCCAGGAAGACGUCCAGGCCUUGGGUGACGCUCAGUCUCA